UGAACGCUGGCGGCGUGCUUAACACAUGCAAGUCGAACGAACCUUCGGGUUAGUGGCGCACGGGUGCGUAACGCGUGGGAAUCUGCCCUCAGGUUCGGAAUAACAGCGAGAAAUUGCUGCUAAUACCGGAUGAUAUCGCGAGAUCAAAGAUUUAUCGCCUGAGGAUGAGCCCGCGUAGGAUUAGCUAGUUGGUGUGGUAAAGGCGCACCAAGGCGACGAUCCUUAGCUGGUCUGAGAGGAUGAUCAGCCACACUGGGACUGAGACACGGCCCAGACUCCUACGGGAGGCAGCAGUGGGGAAUAUUGGACAAUGGGCGAAAGCCUGAUCCAGCAAUGCCGCGUGAGUGAUGAAGGCCUUAGGGUUGUAAAGCUCUUUUACCCGGGAUGAUAAUGACAGUACCGGGAGAAUAAGCUCCGGCUAACUCCGCGCCAGCAGCCGCGGUAAUCUGAUGGCGCGAGG
rnacentral:rRNA from 1 species